AAGUGGCUCAGCGGUAGAGCAUCGCCUUGCCAAGGCGAGGGUCGCGGGUUCGAUUCCCGUCUUCCGCUCCA
rnacentral:tRNA from 1 species